UUUCGCCUUGGUUUUGGUGCCUUUAGACCGACCAGGCUGGUUCGACUAGUCGAGGAUCAACUGACCCUCAUCUGGAAGAAGAAGAGCACCUUUUUGUUAAUAAUUACGAAUAUAUAUAUAUGACGCAGACAAGCAGGAGGCUCACCAGAUGUUAAGUGACACUGCCGCAUAUAACGUAUACGAUGUUAUCUAUGUAGUAAUCGGUUCAACGCAAAAUUAUGUGCAUAUUAUAAACCAAAUUUGACCAAAAGAU